rnacentral:rRNA from 1 species
GACGAACGCUGGCGGCGUGCCUAAUACAUGCAAGUAGGACGCAGUUGCGAACGGGUGAGUAACGCGUAGGUAACUACCUAUUAGAGGGGGAGAACUAUUGGAAACGAUAGCUAAUACCGCAUACUAGUAGAUGGACCUGCGUUGUAUUAGGUAGUAGGUAGGGUAAUGGCCUACCUAGGCAACGAUACAUAGCCGACCUGAGAGGGGGAUCGGCCACACUGGGACUUGGACACGGCCCCGAAUCCUACGGGAAGCAACCGUAGGGAAUCUUCGGCAAUGGGGGGAACCCUUACCGAGCAACGCCGCGUGAGUGAAGAAGGUUUUCGGAUCGGAAAGCUCUGUUGUUAAGGAAGCGUUACUUAACCAGAAAGGGACGGCUAACUACGUGCCAGCAGCCGCGGUAAUAC